GACUACUCCAGUGGCCUAGUGGUUAGAGCGUCCGCCUCAGAUGUGGAAGGUUAUGGGUUCGAUCCCCAGCCGAGUCA